rnacentral:lncRNA from 1 species
GAGGAGGUUCUGUCCAAGUCCUGAUUCGUCCAUACCAGUCCAUUGAAGACAGAGGCAUUGGGUUUUGGCUAGGCUCUCUCCGAUCAACCAGCUGCAAGAACACCGUGAGUUGGUUUGUUUGAGUUCCACUUGGAACUUAGGAUAGAUCGAGUUGCAUAUAGAGUAGUAAUAUCACACUGAUGCAUGAUAGAGUCCUAGGGUUAUUUUUAUUUAUGAAUUGGACUCAGUUUAGCAUGGGCUAAGCUGAGAUAUAAUGGAAUUAAGACUGAGUUAUAACCUGACUAGGACUAGGAUGAAUGAUGCAUUAACCGGUAUAGUGUGAUAAAUUAUGGCGUAGCUGAAUUGUUAAGAUUGAGAUGCAUGUUUUCCUUUAUUUAUUUAUGGGUAGUUUAGUAAUGGAGUAGACCUGCCUUAGAGAUAUUAGGACUAUUGAAUGCUUGGUUUGGUAGUGAUUGUUGUUGUGCAGGGAUGGUAUUGUUCAGGAGAUCUUAGGCCAUAUAGGCCGAUUUCCUUCCAUGUCGAGUUUAGUACUACGAAUCCUAUGCCAUAUAGGCUGGACUACAAGUACAGCUGUUAGUGUCGUAGACUCCUUAGUGUAUUUAAGUUUGUGGUAGGAGUCUUGGUCUUACUAGGAUUAGUGUGUUGUAGCCGACAGUAUGAGCGUAACCCGUCCAUACUAGGCUUGUUUAAGGGAGAUUAGUGUUUCCUCAGCCUCGUACCCAGCGGGUUUAAGGAAAUCCCUUAUUCGUUGAAUCGGGAAGACUCAGAGAGACGGGAUCAUGGCCUAUGGCUGAGUUAUUACACGACGGUGUAAUGUGGCAGUGACCCGAAGGACUGUGGGCUGUCGCGCGGUGACCCGAAGGACUGUGGGCCGCGGUCGGUUGAAAGUUCCUUCUUCUGGCCUUUGUGGUAGGGAGAUAGGAUAUUGCCGAUGUUGAGGAGGAACACGAGAUCACCAGGACCCAUGUUAGAGUAUUGAGUCUAGAGUUAGAAUAGUGUGUCGAGUUAGUUUUAUUGUGUCGUCUUGAGGGUGAGGAACCCUCGAGAUAGUGUUAGCACCGAGAUACGGUGUUGAUCGAGUCUUGAUUGUUAGAUUAGGGAUCCGUUGAGUAGAUGGUCGUUUGGCCAUGUCUAUUAUUAGUAUUAUUAGAUUAAGGUCGAGCAUACCUUAAUCGGUGCGGUUUUGGGGAUUAGCCUUAAAGCUUUAUUUUCUGCGCUUAGGCUAGAUUGAUUGUUAUUUUUGGAUUGUCUGAGCUAGCUACUAGGUUUAGGUAUUUAGGUAGCCAGCUCACUGAGUGACCUUCUGUUACUCACCCAACUCUCGUUGUCCUUUUUGCAGGAGUUUAGGUUGUAGGAGAUUGGACGCGUAGGCCACCGGAAUAGAUUUGCAGUGCAUUUGGCUACGGUUUGAUUUUUAUACGAUUUAUGUUUCCGUUGCGUUUUAUCGGAUUUGGGAUCCCUAAAGUAUUGCAAAUAUUCUUAAAAGUUUUGGAUUUAAAUCUUAAAAAAAUUAACGGGUCCAAUAUGAUAUUGGUUUAGUCCGAACCAACACAACGUUAGGUCUUGGUACGGGUUGAACGGGUUGAAAAGCCUUAGGCCUCGAUCUAACGGAACCGUUAACUCAUGGUACAGGUUGCAAAGCCUUAAGCUUUGAUUUAGCGGGACGUGUUAGUGGAUGAACUAGUCUAGGUUGCGGAAUAAAUCUGUGACUCGGACCGGAUCGUCCCUAGCUCGUCACGUAGCGCUUCCGGACCAUGGUGUUGGGUUGGACGGUCAGUCAUGUUCUUGUUUGAUUGUUGGCUGGCCGGUUGGCCUUACAUCUCCAAUCCUUGGUGUUGGUUGGUCCGUCGGUCAUGUUCUUGUUUGAUUGUUCGCCGGUGGGUCGGCCUAUGCCUAGGACGGUUCGGGGGUGUUACAGUCCUUGUCUUAGGACUUUCUCAAACUGUACCAUUCAAAUAACUGAAAACAGAAAAGUCUUUGGUCUUUAAGACUUGUAAGCCGUGGGUAAUAAAUCUUUGUCUUUGUCAAGACAUGUGUAAGCCGUGGGUAAAAAUCUUUGUAAGCCGUGGGUAAGGAAUAUGUUUUCAGUUAUAGUUUUUUGUCUUAAGACUGAGCCGCAUGCUCUUAUUUGUCAUCCCCUAAAGCCCUUCUUUAUACAUGCACCACCAACCCAUAUUCUCGGUCCAUUAGGAGAUGACAUAAGUUUCUUUUAGAGGCAGCAAGGGACAAUGUUUUCAGUUAUAGUCCUUGUCUUAGGACUUUCUCAAACUGUACCGUUCAAAUAACUGAAAACAGAAAAGUCUUUGGUCUUCAAGACUUGUAAGCCGCGGGUAAUAAAUCUUUGUCUUUGUCUAAGACAUGUGUAAGCCGAGGGUAAUAAAUCUUUUUAAGCCGUGGGUAAGGAAUCUGUUUUCAGUUAUAGUCUUUUGUCUUAAGACUGAGCUGCAUGCUCUUAUUUGCCAUCCCCUAACACCCUUCUCUAUACAUGCACCACAAACCCAUAUUCUUGAUCCAUUAGGGGAUGGCAUAAGUUUCUUUUAGAGGCAGCAAGGGACAUUGUUUUCAGUUAUAGUCCUUGUCUUAGGACUUUCUCAAACUGUACUGUUCAAAUAACUGAAAACAGAAAAGUCUUUGGUCUUUAAGACUUGUAAGCCGUGGGUAAUAAAUUUUUGUCUUUGUCUAAGACAUGUGUAAGCCGAGAGUAAUAAAUCUUUGUAAGCCGUGGGUAAGGAAUCUGUUUCCAGUUAUAGUCUUUUGUCUUAAGACUGAGCCGCAUGCUCUUAUUUGCCAUCCCCUAACGCCCUUCUCUAUACAUGCACCACCAACCCAUAUUCUCGAUCCAUUAGGGGAUGGCAUAAGUUUCUUUUAGAGGCAGCAAGGGACAAUGUUUUCAGUUAUAGUCCUUGUCUUAGGACUUUCUCAAACUGUACCGUUCAAAUAACUGAAAACAGAAAAGUCUUUGGUCUUUAAGACUUUUAAGCCGUGGAUAAUAAAUCUUUGUCUUUGUCUAAGACAUGUGUAAGCCGAGGGUAAUAAAUCUUUUUAAGCCGUGGGUAAGGAAUCUGUUUUCAGUUAUAGUCUUUUGUCUUAAGACUGAGCUGCAUGCUCUUAUUUGCCAUCCCCUAACGCCCUUCUCUAUACAUGCACCACAAACCCAUAUUCUUGAUCCAUUAGGGGAUGGCAUAAGUUUCUUUUAGAGGCAGCAAGGGACAUUGUUUUCAGUUAUAGUCCUUGUCUUAGGACUUUCUCAAACUGUACUGUUCAAAUAACUGAAAACAGAAGAGUCUUUGGUCUUUAAGACUUGUAAGCCGUGGGUAAUAAAUUUUUGUCUUUGUCUAAGACAUGUGUAAGCCGAGAGUAAUAAAUCUUUGUAAGCCGUGGGUAAGGAAUCUGUUUCCAGUUAUAGUCUUUUGUCUUAAGACUGAGCCGCAUGCUCUUAUUUGCCAUCCCCUAACGCCCUUCUCUAUACAUGCACCACCAACCCAUAUUCUCGAUCCAUUAGGGGAUGGCAUAAGUUUCUUUUAGAGGCAGCAAGGGACAAUGUUUUUAGUUAUAGUCCUUGUCUUAGGACUUUCUCAAACUGUACCGUUCAUAUAACUGAAAACAGAAAAGUCUUUGGUUUUUAAGACUUGUAAGCCGUGGGUAAUAAAUCUUUGUCUUUGUCUAAGACAUGUGUAAACCGAGGGUAAUAAAUCUUUGUAAGCCGUGGGUAAGGAAUCUGUUUUCAGUUAUAGUCUUUUGUCUUAAGACUGAGCCGCAUGCUCUUAUUUGCCAUCCCCUAACGUCCUUCUCUAUACAUGCACCACCAACCCAUAUUCUCGAUCCAUUAGGAGAUGGCAUAAGUUUCUUUUAGAGGCAGCAAGGGACAUUGUUUUCAGUUAUAGUCUUAGUCUUAGGACUUUCUCAAACUGUACCGUUCAAAUAACUGAAAACAGAAAAGUCUUUGGUCUUUAAUACUUGUAAGCCGUGGGUAAUAAAUCUUUGUCUUUGUCUAAGACAUGUGUAAGCCGAAGGUAAUAAAUUUUUGUAAGCCGUAGGUAAGGAAUCUGUUUUCAGUUAUAGUCUUUUGUCUUAAGACUGAGCCGCAUGCUCUUAUUUGCCAUCCCCUGACGCCCUUCUCUAUACAUGCACCACCAACCCAUAUUCUCGAUCCAUUAGGGGAUGGCAUAAGUUUCUUUUAGAGGCAGCAAGGGACAAUGUUUUCAGUUAUAGUCCUUGUCUUAGGACUUUUAUCAAACUGUACCGUUCAAAUAACUGAAAACAGAAAAGUCUUUGGUCUUUAAGACUUGUAAGCCGUGGGUAAUAAAUCUUUGUCUUUGUCUAAGACAUGUGUAAGCCGAGGGUAAUAAAUCUUUGUAAGCCGUGGGUAAGGAAUCUGUUUUCAGUUAUAGUCUUUUGUCUUAAGACUGAGCCGCAUGCUCUUAUUUGCCAUCCCCUAACGCCCUUCUCUAUACAUGCACCACCAACCCAUAUUCUCGAUCCAUUAGGGGAUGGCAUAAGUUUCUUUUAGAGGCAGCAAGGGACAUUGUUUUCAGUUAUAUUCUUUGUCUUAGGACUUUCUCAAACUGUACCGUUCAAAUAACUGAAAACAGAAAAGUCUUUGGUCUUUAAGACUUGUAAGCCGUGGGUAAUAAAUCUUUGUCUUUAUCUAAGACAUGUGUAAGCCGAGGGUAAUAAAUCUUUGUAAGCCGUGGGUAAGGAAUCUGUUUUUAGUUAUAGUCUUUUGUCUUAAGACUGAGCCACAUGCUCUUAUUUGCCAUCCCCUAACGCCCUUUUCUAUACAUGCACCACCAACCCAUAUUCUCGAUCCAUUAGGGGAUGGCAUAAGUUUCUUUUAGAGGCAGCAAGGGACAAUGUUUUCAGUUAUAGUCCUUGUCUUAGGACUUUCUCAAACUGUACCGUUCAUAUAACUGAAAACAGAAAAGUCUUUGGUCUUUAAGACUUGUAAGCCGUGGGUAAUAAAUCUUUGUCUUUGUCUAAGACAUGUGUAAGCCGAGGGUAAUAAAUCUUUGUAAGCCGUGGGUAAGUAAUCUGUUUUCAAUUAUAGUCUUUUGUCUUAAGACUGAACCGCAUGCUCUUAUUUGCCAUCCCCUAACGUCCUUCUCUAUACAUGCACCACCAACCCAUAUUCUCGAUCCAUUAGGGGAUGGCAUAAGUUUCUUUUAGAGGCAGCAAGGGACAUUGUUUUCAGUUAUAGUCCUUGUCUUAGGACUUUCUCAAACUGUACCGUUCAAAUAACUGAAAACAGAAAAGUCUUUGGGCUUUAAGACUUGUAAGCCGUGGGUAAUAAAUCUUUGUCUUUGUCAAAGACAUGUGUAAGCCGUGGGUAAAAAUUUUUGUAAGCCGGAGGUUAGGAAUCUGUUUUCAGUUAUAGUCUUUUGUCUUAAGACUGAGCCGCAUGCUCUUAUUUGCCAUCCCCUAAUGCCCUUCUUUCUACAUGCACCACCAACCCAUAUUCUCGAUCCAUUAGGGGAUAUCAUAAGUUUCUUUUAGAGGCAGUAAGGGACAUUGUUUUCAGUUAUAGUCCUUGUCUUAGGACUUUUUCAAACUGUACCAUUCAAAUAACUGAAAACAGAAAAGUCUUUGGUCUUUAAGACUUUUAAGCCGUGGGUAAUAAAUCUUUGUCUUUGUCAAGACAUGUGUAAGCCGUGGGUAAUGUAAGCCGUGGGUAAGGAAUCUGUUUUCAGUUAUAGUCUUUUGUCUUAAGACUGAGCCGCAUGCUCUUAUUUGCCAUCCCCUAAAGCCCUUCUUUAUACAUGCACCACCAACCCAUAUUCUCGGUCCAUUUAACAAUCUUGCUAUAGGAGAUGGCAUAAGUUUCUUUUAGAGGCAGCAAGGGACAAUGUUCCCAAAUAAGAAUCUGACAGAACACUAUAAGAUUAGUGUCUGUCUAUGAUCUUUUUUGGGAUUUGAAAAACAAAAACAAAACCAAAACAAAACCAAAACAAUGUUCCCAAACAAGAAUCUGACAGAACACUAUUAGAUUAGUGUUUGUCUAUGAUCUUUUUUGGGUUUGAAAAACCACAAGAACGUCUAUAGCAAGAACAUUACAAGAACGUCUGUCUAAUCUCUUGGGUUUGAUAAAACCACAAGAAAACAAAAAGCUUUAAAAGUCCUGUUAAAAGAGGAAAAUCGUAGUCAAAUAAAAACAGUUCAAAACGGAAUCCUGAUUUCAAAAAUCUCAAAACAAAACCGGGAUAAAAGCGCUUGAAAAUAAACGGGAAAGUCUAAGGACAUACAGAGAAGAGAAAAGACAAUCAAAAAGCUGAGUUUGUGCCAAAGGUGUGCAGAGAGAAACAGGACGACAUAGAUGUUUUUGAUUUACCUCAGUUGAGCUAUGGGAGAGAACCACCGUAAGAGCACUCCUAAAUGUACAACGGCCGGUAUCAACUUGAAUAGAAAUGGUGUCGUUACCUGCAACAUAUUCACUUUAAUGUACAUGUCAAAAUAUUCGUUCUAUAACUGAAAUGGUGUGGAUGUGAACCAUACCAGGCUUAGAGCAGUUGUUCCCAGAAGCAGGAGGUACAGUUUGCUCUGCGAAUAAACACAAAACCCUUCACUGUUAUCACUCCACCAAAAGCAAAAUUAUGAGCAACCUAUUAUGGGUACCACACAGUCGGGAAGAUAUAACCGUAGUUGCACAACACAGUUUCAUUUGAUUGCUUACCUCAAUAAGGUGAAGAUUAGAUGCUCGACUUAGCAGAACAAAAGCAAAUUCCCCAAUCUGCGCAAGCGACAUUCCAACCUAUAGAGAAGAAAACUGUAAGGGCUCUCACUACGAGUAAGGUUUGGAGCAAUGUGAAAGCAAAAAGGAAGGGUUCACUUCUUACAAGUACUGCAGUUUUGUUAUUGUAUCCAAAGACCUUAACAACGAUUGCAACGACCACGGUCUUUAUCACUAUCACCAGUAACACAGCUGCUACCAGAAUAUCAACAUGGUUCCACAAGAAGUGCAUAUGUAUCAACAUUCCAAUACUAGCAAGGAACAGCGCUGCAAAAAAAUUGCGGAUUGGUUCUACCUGAAAGGGAAGCACAGGAAUGAUAAGAAGAGCUCUAUGUGGCAAAAAAGAGAAAUGCAUUUCAUAAAGUCACCAACAGAUAUAUAGCACAAAAGACACUUGUGGCAUAAGAAUGUUCAAAUAAAAUGCGAAAAGAUCCACAAGUCCGAAAGAGUCAAAAUUGACUUCUUACUUGUUCAAGAGUAUGCUGGGCGAGAUCCGUUGAUGAGAUCAUCACUCCUGCCGCAAAGGAACCCAGCUCAAGACUUAGACCGAGCUUGUCACUACACUGAAGAAACCAAAACAAUACUGAGUUUAUGAACUGAAAAUUUGAGAUAGCACAUGUGCAAAAAGCCAAUAGAUAAGAAGAACAAAGGAUCAGACUGACCCAAGCAACAAGCAAACAAAAUGCUACAGCGGCCAACUGGUAGAGCUCGUUAGUCUGUCAAAGAUUGACGAACGCUUAAGUUGAUAAACAUUUUAAAGACCAAAAACGGAAGCAAGUAAAAAUAUGUGUAUACCUGAGAAGAAAGGCUUGUCAUAAGUUUUAGAAACCAAGGUACCCAGGUACGUGACAGUACAAACAAAGCAGCCAAAAACGCAAUCAAAAUAGCCAACCUUGAAAGAAAUUACCGCACGGUCAAAAGAAAUGAAAUAUCAAAAACUUGGUUUCACUGAACAACAGUAUAACAAGUGAAAAAGGAAGCAGGAUAUUGUCGACAUUUUCACAGAACUUCCAGUAAAAUAGAAAACAUACGAUUUAGCCAUGGACAACAUUCCUUGAAGGACACCAGAUGUGCCACCAAGAACCGGAAGGAGAGCAAAAAGCAAACCCACAGCACAAUCCUAGAGAUUCAUGAAGCCAUAUAUUAAAAAUCUAAUGAAAGCAACUGUAGGAUACAACAUACUAAUAGCUGAAAUCCAGUAGCAUACAAAAGAGUAAGCGGAAACAGUAGCCUGUACAAAUCAUAUUACUAUGCUAUUGUUUGGAGAGUGACUGAGAUACCUGAAGGAUAAGUGUUCCAACGGUUAUCUGGCCAUGUAGAGCACUUAUGCUCUUUUUUCCAUUAAAAAUUUCAACACCUGAUAUAAGAAUCAUGGCAAGGUAAAAAUAACAUAUGAGGAUCACCCCUAAAGAGAAACUUAGGGAAACAUAACUGGUACAACAAAAGAAAGAAUUUAAUACAGUGAGAGCACAUGGAGUAAAUUAUAACAGUUUAGAAUACAAAAGUGAUCUUAGAAUAUACCACCGCUGUUGACGACAUCGAAAGAAAAGCACCUACGAAUAUUCCUUCUGUUAGUUUACCACCGCAUAACUGCAAUGCAAUGAAGAAGCAGCCAAGUCAACCCAAUGCAUUCCUUUUCAUGAUUUAUACACAAUAAGCCUAAUAACUCAUUCUUACUCAAUUGCUAUUACUAUUUACAAACUAGAACAUACCGAGGCUGUUAUCCCACUCAAGCACAUGAACAAAAAUAUUUGAAGAAGACCUCCUGGAAUAGCUACUGCACGAACUACACGAAGCUGCGACCACAAAGUACAAUAAAUCAAUGACUAUCUCAAAAGUUUCAAAAGAACAAAGAAACCAGAAAAGUGUAAGAGGGUGGAAACAUGCAAACCUUUGCUGCAGAAAAUUCUAAUCCUAAAGCAAAAAGAAGAAAGAUUACACCAAACUGAGCUACUGUUUCAACCUGUGCUACACAAAAGAAUAUAUAUAUCAAGUCUUGUCGACCAUUAACAUAGCCAGUCAAUCUCUUAAUCAUGAAAACUUCCGUCGAAAUGCAAUAUGAAGACAAAAAGGAGGAACUUUGAAGAGCUAAAGCUGAUGUAAGCUACCUGCACCAUUUCACUAACAAAGCUUAACCCACCCGGUCCAAUGAUAGAUCCAGCCAACAGAUACCCAGUAAUGACCUGCCAAGUAAGUAGUACAGAAAUUAAAUAUGGCCGUCACUGUUCGAUGAUUCAAAGGCCAACAAAAUCAAUUCUAAGCUCUUGGAAAGGUGAAUACUCAAAUGGUAACGGAAUAAUGUUGAAAGUUACAAGCUCUGCAAAGGAAGCGUGUACUCACCGGUUGACCAGCACAAGCAAAUGCAAUUCCACCACAAGUAGCAGAAACAAUGACGACGACCAAAUCUGAUAUCAGCCUACAAAUAUAUCCAGUUAAGAGAGGCGUCCCAAACAAAAAACGGUUAGGUAGAUUCUUACAAAUGAUAAAUGAUCAAAGACCUUUCCUUACGAAUGCUAUAUUUACCUUAAAUCUAGCUGCAGUACAGGGUACUUGGACUUUGGAUUGGACAUGAUAAAAACGUUGUCCUGGAUUGGAAUUGAAAAUUCACAAUUCAGGAAUGUUGUCACAAACGGGUAGAUAACAGGUGUACAUUCUCUCUUAACCAAUAUAUAGUACAAUUCUUCAAAGACUAUGAAAGCUUACCUUCCUAUCUAUCAGUCUUGGAGUAUCUUCUACGCCAUUCUCGUUAUCCAAAUUAAAGAAUGAUCUAGCAUAAAAGGCACUGAUUAUAUUACCGCCUCUGAAACAAAGCUAGAUAGCAGCCACAACUUUCACAAAUCGAGUCCAAAAAGGGUAAAGCAAGCAUGAUUAUAAAGAGACUCACUUCUCCUCCUUGGUCUUGGUCUCAUUUUUCUUGGGCUUCACUCGAGCAACAGUUUCCAGAACAGCCUAAAGAGCAGAACAAAUGGUUUAAUAAAAAGAAGGAAAAAAAAAACAAGAAAGACUGAGUAGUGUACCGUCUAAAAGCAAUAAGGCCACAAAUGAAGUGGCGAAAACAAAGAUUACAAUUAACCAACCUGCUGAUCAGCAACGCUAUUAUUAAAGCUUCCUGGAUCAGGAACUGCAAAAGCAAAACAAGACAAAAGCAAUUCACAAACCACUUAUUCAAAGAGUUCAAAUAACAUCUUGUAUAUCCUCUAGGACGAGACCAGACCAAGUGAUAUAAUCCAAGAGUUUUAAGCACUAUGCCAUUGGUCAAUAACUUUUAUCAUCUCAAUAUGCAAUUCAUUAAAUUCUAUAAGCCAUGAGUAAUCUAAAAACUCCAAUGCAGAUGUGAGCAUUAGCUAAAAUCAAUGAUAAAUCCCUAAGGAGUAGAAUCAAUUUUCACCAAAUCUAAAACUGAAAACAAAACCCUAGUGUAGCAAACGAACCAUCGUUCUGGUCAUUCUCCGGAAACUCCUUCUCAAGUGCCCUAUCGAUCAUAUCGGCGAAACUGUCCUCCUUAGGUUUCGCGUUCGUCGCAUUGGACUCGGCGGCGUUUCCGUUGAUCUCGCGUGUGGCAACUGACUCAGUCCCGAUAUCGGACUCGGCGGAGAAGGCAAGAUGGAAACUACAGAUCAGGAGAAACGCCAGAAACCUCAUCGUUUCCACGGAGAUGAAUUCGCCGAUUUUACACCGCCGCAUCUCAGUGACGGUGGUGGCGCGGCGGAGCGAUUAAGAAAUAGAGAGAGAGAGAGAGAGUGAUUGUGAAAGAUAGAUUCUGCUUCCUUCUUCUUCUUCUCUCUCUUUCUGGUGGUUAGAGAGCGAGAAAGAAAACAGAUCGAAGGAAAAUUAAUUAAUACUAUUAAAGUAAAAAGGGUAACAUUUGCUGAAUAUGCACAUUAAAUACGUGUAAAUUAUAUUCAACUGUUAUCGUUUUUUUUUUUUUUUUGCUUGUACUAAAUAGCUUAAUUUUGGUGAAGAAACCAGCAAAUUUUCAUUUUAUUUUAAUAAAUAAAUGAUAUCUCAUUCAACUUUAAUGUUACUGAAUGAUACAUGGAGAUAAUAAAUAAUACUCCAAGUAAAAAUUUUUUAGAUUUUUUUCUUGUUCCACAAAAAUAGAUUUUCUAUAUUGUUAAGGUAUUUUUUUAUACUUUUAAAAAACAUUAAUUGAGAAUAUUUGAAUUGAUAAAAUUUCAUUGGUGGAAAGUUGUUGAAAAGUGUAUAAUAAAGUAAAAAAAAUUAAAUUAUAAAUGUUUAUUAAAUUAUUAAUAAGCGUGCAUACUAUAAAAAUUUUAUCAAUUCAAAUAUUCUUUUGAUCUUACUUUCGGGAACAAAGAGAGUAUUCUUUUGAUGGUACUACGGAUGCUACAACUUUAGGAUGGUGCUGUUGAUCAUCUGGACUAAAAAGGAUGACAAAGAGGAAUCCCAAGCCCUUAAUCUUGAACUGUACAUAGAGUGAUAGAUUACUAACUUAGAUUAUAGAAUGUUUUAGUCAUUUAUUUUGUUAUAGUAUAUAUAUAGUUGAGUUGGUAUACAAUGUUUGCUAGCUGGGCCGGGAAAUGUCCAGUGUUUAUCAAUUGGCAUACAGUUGCAUAUGAGCUGAAAAGCUUUGGAAGUCCAGUUCCUCGGAUUCGAGUUGAUCAAAACAAAAAGUAUAUAUAUGAAGCUGGUUUUUAUUAUUCUUGAUGAAUAAUUUACACAUGUAGUCACGAUAAAUGCAUGGUUUCGUGUACAACUCUGUGAUGAUAGUACUCUACGUAACACUUGGAUCAACUGUAUACAAUUCUACAUGCAAUACGAUAAGAUUUUCAGUAAACUUUGCGUUUACAUACUUAACCCUUAUUACAACCUUCAAAAGAAUAUUGUGAAUAUUAAACUCUAAACCUAAUUAAUACUCAAACAUUUGUCCAAGGAAUUUUCACAAGAUAAAACAAGUUAUAUCAUAAAUAAUUUGUACUUGGCUAUACAAAAAUGAUACGUCUUUAAAAAAUGGGUAUUGUCCCACUAAACUCAAUGUGCCGUCACGGUUGAAUCCGCUUGACCACCAAAAUAGAUUUGUCGGUGUGAUUUUUAUAAAUCCCUUAUAUAUUAACCGAGAAACAAUACAACAUUGUUUUGUAGACACGUGUCACCAUAAAAAUGAAAUUCAAAAUUCUUAGAGAAAUAGGUUGGUCCAUCUUACUUACAUUAUACUAACUAUUAAAUUGAUAAAUAGCGUACAGAAGAAUAUUAUCGCACUUUCCUUAAAAAAAGCUACAAAAUUUCCUAAUAUGAUUAACAUAUAUAAAAGAAUUAAUGAUUAUGAAUAAUAAAUAUUUGAUAAGAAUUUUAGUAUCUUAGCUCUUUUUUAUUUAAUUUGACAUUAUUAAAAGAUAUUAAGCAACCACAUUAACUAUAUAAUAAAAACAUGAUUUUUUUAUAUGUUAUAUUUUUAAUGGAUAAUUCUCCUAAACAGACCAUUUUCAAGUUUUGAUCACAAAAAUAGACCAUAAGGAAAAAAAUGACCAAAAUGUUUCAUUUAAUAGGUAAAAGAACCAUAAUACCCUAGAUAUAUAUAUAUAUAUAUAUAUAUAUAAAAUUAUAGUUUUAGAUUAUAUUUUUUAAAUUCGAACUUUUUUAUAAUAAUUUUUUUAUAAUUUUUUUCGAAAUUUUUUUUAAUAAAAUUUUAAAUCUCAAUCUCAAAUCUCCAUCUCUCAACUCUAAACCCUACGGUUUUGAUUAGUUAAUCCUAGGGGUAUAACUGUAGAUCUCUUUAAUGAAACAUUUUGGUUAUUUUGAUCCUUAGGAUCUGUAUUUGUGACAUAAACCUUUUUAGUGCUAUUCUAGGGUAUUUCCCAUUUUAAUUUUUAAAACGACUAUAAAUUACUAAAAUAGUUAAAUGUCUCACACACUAAAAUUUUGUCAUCAAUGGUUUAAUUUUUUUGGUGAUAAAAAAAUACAAAUGAUCAUAAAUUGUAUGAAUAUGACUAGACAUUCAUAUUAUAUUUUAAUAUUUUUUUAAAUUAAAUUAUAUAGCAUAGAAAAAUACUCAAGUAUGAUAAUUUCUAAAUUUGUAUUAAAAAUAUUAAAAUCUUAUUAUUUUAAUUUUAAAAUUUGCAUUCAAAAAAUCGCACAUUAGAAAUUUUGUGUUUAUCGUAUGAAUAUGAUUCUAAAUAAUAAAUAUUUAUAUUAAAAUAUACUAUAUAUAUAUCCAUGUCAUUAAAAUUUAGUUAUAUACUAUAUAAAACAAAUAAAAUAAUGUUUUGAUUUAUUUACCAAAAAAAGUAUCAUAAAUUAGAUGUAUUGUUUCGAUUUAUAUGCUCACUCUGAUUUAAUUAUAUACAUAAUAAAUAAAUGAAUAUAAAUAAAUAAUAAUAUAUAAAAUUUAUUUUUAUAUAUAACAUAAUUGUGCGGGUCUUAAGUCAUAUGAUAAUCUAGAAUACUUAUACACUAAUCAGCAUCCCAACCAUUAUAUAAGAAGUUGUAAAAUAUGAAAUACAUAUUUAUAAAAUAUCUAAUUCAAAACCAAGAGCGCCCAUAGAAGUGAGAUAGAUUUUUAGCUUAAUCCCGCUUAGACUCACAUGGACUUUUCCAUUGUCGGAUUGAGCCAUCAACCAAACAUAUUUUAGCUGAAUUAAUUUAUUCUAUUUCUCGAGACUUAUUAAUUAAACAAUUAGAUAAAAGAAAUGUUAUUCCUCAAAUCUGUUUUCAAGUAGGUGAGUAGAUCGAAACCCAGAACAACCUCUUUUUUUUUGCUUAAAACCCCAAGAACUACUUAUAGACCUAACUUUAACAACAACAAUACAAAAGAAAUGUACUAAGCACACAAUACAAAACGAAGCAUGAUGGUCUAACUAACUCCAGCGAAUAUAACUUAUGAGCGAGUGGUAAGGAAAAACACUUUCCUUGUAAAGAAGAAAGAAAAUUCACAUUAAUUAGGUUAGAAGAAAUCAUAAAAGAAAAUUCAAAACUUUUGAUCACAUGGUUGUGUGGACUAAACUUGGACUUUUCUUUAAUCAUAUAGUUCAUUUUUCAUUUUCAAGGAAGAUCGAUACUUUUACUUAUGUUCUUUUUAUUUAAUUGUAAUGACACUCCCAGAGUUAAAAACCAGUAUUGAAAGAAGCAAAUGGUUUUGCCUCUCCAAGUAGGCAACUAUGCCUCCCAAAGAAAAAGAGACAUCAUGCUCACUCCAUGCCUAUAAAUACUCCUCAAAUCAAUAACUUAUCCAUUCAAAUUGUGUCUGAGAACAAAAAGGCAAAAAAAAAAAAAGAAGAAGAUGGGUUUAAUCAAAGAGAAAGAGAUGGAGAUUCCAGUCAUUGAUUUUAGUGAACUGGAUGGAGAAAACAGAACCAAGACUAUGUCUCUUCUUGAUCAUGCAUGUGAUAAGUGGGGCUUCUUCAUGGUAUGUACAAAUCUUUAUCCACAAAUCAAGUUCUUAAGUAUGCAUAUGUAAACGUUCCUAGAUCCAGUUCUAGUGUAGACCCUUAUUAAAUGCGGGCUGAUGAAUUUUCAGGUUGAUAAUCAUGGAAUUGAUAAAGAAUUGAUGGAUAAAGUAAAACAGCUGAUUAACUCUCAUUAUGAGGAGCAUUUGAAAGAGAAGUUUUACCAGUCAGAGAUGGUCAAGGCUUUGAGUGAAGGCAAAACGUCAGAUGCUGAUUGGGAAAGCACUUUCUUCGUUUGGCAUAAGCCGACUUCAAACAUAUCCAAAGUCUCCAACAUUUCAGAUGAACUCAUGUAAGUAACUAAAAAAAUUAUAUAUCCAAAUUUUUACCAAUUUCUUUAUUUGGACAAAGUUUUUACCAUUUAUAUGUCUUGCCUAUUAUAAUUAACAAUGUGUGGGGAUGAAACUUAUAUUGCAGCAAGACAAUGGAUGAAUAUGUUUCUCAACUGCACAAGUUUGCAGAAAGGCUCUCUAAACUCAUGUGUGAAAAUCUUGGUCUCCCUCGAGAACACAUAGUGAAUGCGUUCUCCGGUAUAGAAGGUCCAGUUUUUGGGACAAAAGUGGCUAAAUACCCAGAAUGCCCUCAUCCGGAGCUCAUUAGAGGGCUGAGAGAACAUACUGAUGCUGGAGGGAUCAUAUUGCUCUUGCAGGAUGAUCAAGUGCCUGGUCUUGAGUUCUUGAAAGAUGGGAAGUGGGUUCCUAUCCCACCAUCGAAGAACAAUACCAUUUUUGUCAAUACCGGUGAUCAAGUCGAGAUAUUGAGUAAUGGGAAGUACAAGAGUGUUGUACACCGUGUGAUGACGAUGAAGCAAGGAAGUAGACUGUCGAUAGCUACAUUUUACAAUCCAGCUGGGGAUGCCAUAAUAUCUCCAGCUCAAGAGAUGUUGUACCCAAGUGGUUACCGAUUCCAAGACUACCUUAAGCUUUAUUCAACCACUAAGUUUGGAGACAAAGGCUCUAGAUUUAAUACCAUGAAGAAAAUGGAGAAUGGGGAUUCCGUCUAGGAUGCAUCGCCUGAACGUAACGCUGCUUUUGUAUUUCACAUGAAACUCUAUUUCUAUUAAAACUUUGUCUUCUUGUUGUGUUUCUUUCAUAAAGGAAUAACAAUUAUGCCAGGAUCAUGCUGAUUCAACUAUUUUGCUUUGUUAAGAAAAAAUAACUCUUUUUACUCAAGUGAUUUUGUACUAGGCAAGUCGUUGAUGGCAACUUUAAAAACAUUAGUUUGAACUUUGAAGGUCUUUUAUAUUGUACUUUUAUUUUUAAGGAUGUCCUUAAGAUAUUAGUAUGUUUUGGCUAAAAAGUUAUAUAUCGUUUAAUUCUGUUUAUCUUUUAAAACAACAAAAACACAAAAGAUAUUUCAUGUUAAGCGAUAAUUCAAUAUGAUUAAGAGAAUGAUAACCUAGUUAGUAAUUAGUAAUUACCAACAUCCGUAUGGUCAUAAAAGAGAACCCAAGAUAAUGAAAAAAAAAUGUCAAACCAUAAAACUUGGACAAUGGUGAAACAAAAACAGUUUUUAUUUAAGUUUUCGUAGGAUCAAACUCCCACGGCUGCUUCUUGUAAUAGCAGACCACAAACUAAACCAAGUGGUCUUAUUUGUAGCAACUUCUUUUUCUUCACCUUUUAACUUGGCAUGUAACUGAGCAAAUUCCAGCAAAUUUUUUUUUUUUUUUUUUGCUUGUACUAAAUAGCUUAAUUUUGGUGAAGAAACCAGCAAAUUUUCAUUUUAUUUUAAUAAAUAAAUGAUAUCUCAUUCAACUUUAAUGUUACUGAAUGAUACAUGGAGAUAAUAAAUAAUACUCCAAGUAAAGAUUUUUUUAGAUUUUUUUCUUGUUCCACAAAGAUAGAUUUUCUAUAUUGUUAAGGUAUUUUUUUAUACUUUUGAAAAACAUUAAUUGAGAAUAUUUGAAUUAAUUAAAUUUCAUUGGUGGAAAGUUAUUGAAAAGUGUAUAAUAAAGUAAAAGAUAAAUUAAAUUAUAAAUAUUUAUUAAAUUAUUAAUAAGCGUCCAUACUCUAAAAAAUCUUACUUUUGCGAACAGAGAGAGUAUUCUUUUGAUGGUACUACGGAUGCUACAACUUUAAGAUGGUGCUGUUGAUCAUCUGGACUAAAUAGGUUGACAAAGAGGAAUCCCAAGCCCUUAAUCUUGAACUGUACAUAGAGUGGUAGAUUACUAACUUAGGCUUCGAAUGUUACGAACUGCCUCGCUCCGCAGUUAACAGUAACAAAAAUCUCUACAUAUACUAUAUAUCUAUACGUUUUUAUAACUGUUAAAACCGCACCGCAAUUAAUGUAUGUAGCGGCUAGAGGCUUGUUCAAAAUGAAUCCUCCAAUGAUUAUAGUGCCUAAAUCCAUUGAGGAAGGCAUCGAGACUUUGCUCGAGGUUCCUAGAGCUAAGGCACAAUCCUGUUAGCUUGGACAUAGGAGGACAACCUCUAGCAUCCAACUACCCAUUGCCGCCCAAGGUUUGUGGUUUUUUUUUGUGUGUGUUGUUUGGUGGCAUAGUGAUACAGUAGCUUCAUCAGGUGUCAGUAGAACCAUGAGGAGAAUUCUUUCAGUGGAGUUGGCUUUUGAACCAAAGAUUGUAUAUGUGAGAAAAACAUCUAAAGUUAAAAUGUGUCAAAGGUUACGACAUCCUCAUUCAAAUAGCUAAUGAUAACAUGGGUUUGUCAGUGUUGGUUCUUCUCGGUAGAUAUAUGCUUAAGUUCCGUUUCUUAGGUCAGCAAAAUGGUGCAACGACAUCUGACAUGAGGGAAUAAGUAGGUGGGGGAUCUCACGAUAUCUAAAAAUCAUUAUUUUGCAUUUUUUUCUGAGAGCAUUCUGAUUAGCUACACCGUGUGUUAUCCUUAGGCUAUGCUCUAUUAUUGUCUUGGUGCGUCACAUUCUCAACUUGUAAACUAGAGUGUUCAUAUUUUUGUUCUAGGGUGGAUUGUCAAUGUAUGUAGCGGCUAAAAUUUUCUAAUCUUUUAUAUAGUUUCCUUGUAAAAGGUAUCUUAUUGCUUGGUCAAAGACUGCUGGCAUUAUGAUACCAGUUAGAUUCAUCAGGUGUCAGCAGAAAUAUGAGGAGCAUCCUUUCAUUAGAGUUGGCUUUUGAACCAAAUAUUGUUUAUAUGAGAAAAAUCAUAUAUUACCAAGGGGGUAUAGGAGUCCAGCAUCCAAAAGCUAGAUUGUGUUAGGUUAUAGUGUCCUCAUUCAAAAUUGUGUUGGUUCUUAUCGGUAAUCAUAUGCUUAAGUUUCGGUUUUCAGGUCAGCGAAUAAUGCAACAUCAUCUGACAUUAAGGAGUAAGAAGGUGGGCUCGUAAGAUAUCUAAAAAAGGUUUCUCUUAACAACCUCAGUAUUCUCUGAAGAUUGUGGGCUUAAUCCACUUCAAGAUUCUGCAAACGAGACUGCUUCUUCCAUGAGGCAAGUGUCUAUUGUUUUCUCUGAUAUGUCGUCACUCUUUUGUCAUCAUUGAGGUUUAGGCCCUUGACAGAGGCAAAGAGGCAAGAGAAGGAGGACGUUAAUUAAACAAUUAGAUAAAAGAAAUGUUAUUCCUCAAAUCUGUUUUCAAGUAGGUGAGUAGAUCGAAACCCAGAACAACCUCUUUUUUUUUGCUUAAAACCCCAAGAACUACUUAUAGACCUAACUUUAACAACAACAAUACAAAAGAAAUGUACUAAGCACACAAUACAAAACGAAGCAUGAUGGUCUAACUAACUCCAGCGAAUAUAAGCGAGUGGUAAGGAAAAACACUUUCCUUGUAAAGAAGAAAGAAAAUUCACAUUAAUUAGGUUAGAAGAAAUCAUAAAAGAAAAUUCAAAACUUUUGAUCUCAUGGUUGUGUGGACUAAACUUGGACUUUUCUUUAAUCAUAUAGUUCAUUUUUCAUUUUCAAGGAAGAUCGAUACUUUUACUUAUGUUCUUUUUAUUUAAUUGUAAUGACACUCCCAGAGUUAAAACCAGUAUUGAAAGAAGCAAAUGGUUUUGCCUCUCCAAGUAGGCAACUAUGCCUCCCAAAGAAAAAGAGACAUCAUGCUCACUCCAUGCCUAUAAAUACUCCUCAAAUCAAUAACUUAUCCAUUCAAAUUGUGUCUGAGAACAAAAAGGCAAAAAAAAAAAAGAGAAGAAGAUGGGUUUAAUCAAAGAGAAAGAGAUGGAGAUUCCAGUCAUUGAUUUUAGUGAACUGGAUGGAGAAAACAGAACCAAGACUAUGUCUCUUCUUGAUCAUGCAUGUGAUAAGUGGGGCUUCUUCAUGGUAUGUACAAAUCUUUAUCCACAAAUCAAGUUCUUAAGUAUGCAUAUGUAAACGUUCCUAGAUCCAGUUCUAGUGUAGACCCUUAUUAAAUGCGGGCUGAUGAAUUUUCAGGUUGAUAAUCAUGGAAUUGAUAAAGAAUUGAUGGAUAAAGUAAAACAGCUGAUUAACUCUCAUUAUGAGGAGCAUUUGAAAGAGAAGUUUUACCAGUCAGAGAUGGUCAAGGCUUUGAGUGAAGGCAAAACGUCAGAUGCUGAUUGGGAAAGCACUUUCUUCGUUUGGCAUAAGCCGACUUCAAACAUAUCCAAAGUCUCCAACAUUUCAGAUGAACUCAUGUAAGUAACUAAAAAAAUUAUAUAUCCAAAUUUUUACCAAUUUCUUUAUUUGGACAAAGUUUUUACCAUUUAUAUGUCUUGCCUAUUAUAAUUAACAAUGUGUGGGGAUGAAACUUAUAUUGCAGCAAGACAAUGGAUGAAUAUGUUUCUCAACUGCACAAGUUUGCAGAAAGGCUCUCUAAACUCAUGUGUGAAAAUCUUGGUCUCCCUCGAGAACACAUAGUGAAUGCGUUCUCCGGUAUAGAAGGUCCAGUUUUUGGGACAAAAGUGGCUAAAUACCCAGAAUGCCCUCAUCCGGAGCUCAUUAGAGGGCUGAGAGAACAUACUGAUGCUGGAGGGAUCAUAUUGCUCUUGCAGGAUGAUCAAGUGCCUGGUCUUGAGUUCUUGAAAGAUGGGAAGUGGGUUCCUAUCCCACCAUCGAAGAACAAUACCAUUUUUGUCAAUACCGGUGAUCAAGUCGAGAUAUUGAGUAAUGGGAAGUACAAGAGUGUUGUACACCGUGUGAUGACGAUGAAGCAAGGAAGUAGACUGUCGAUAGCUACAUUUUACAAUCCAGCUGGGGAUGCCAUAAUAUCUCCAGCUCAAGAGAUGUUGUACCCAAGUGGUUACCGAUUCCAAGACUACCUUAAGCUUUAUUCAACCACUAAGUUUGGAGACAAAGGCUCUAGAUUUAAUACCAUGAAGAAAAUGGAGAAUGGGGAUUCCGUCUAGGAUGCAUCGCCUGAACGUAACGCUGCUUUUGUAUUUCACAUGAAACUCUAUUUCUAUUAAAACUUUGUCUUCUUGUUGUGUUUCUUUCAUAAAGGAAUAACAAUUAUGCCAGGAUCAUGCUGAUUCAACUAUUUUGCUUUGUUAAGAAAAAAUAACUCUUUUUACUCAAGUGAUUUUGUACUAGGCAAGUCGUUGAUGGCAACUUUAAAAACAUUAGUUUGAACUUUGAAGGUCUUUUAUAUUGUACUUUUAUUUUUAAGGAUGUCCUUAAGAUAUUAGUAUGUUUUGGCUAAAAAGUUAUAUAUCGUUUAAUUCUGUUUAUCUUUUAAAACAACAAAAACACAAAAGAUAUUUCAUGUUAAGCGAUAAUUCAAUAUGAUUAAGAGAAUGAUAACCUAGUUAGUAAUUAGUAAUUACCAACAUCCGUAUGGUCAUAAAAGAGAACCCAAGAUAAUGAAAAAAAAAUGUCAAACCAUAAAACUUGGACAAUGGUGAAACAAAAACAGUCUUUUUAUUUAAGUUUUCGUAGGAUCAAACUCCCACGGCUGCUUCUUGUAAUAGCAGACCACAAACUAAACCAAGUGGUCUUAUUUGUAGCAACUUCUUUUUCUUCACCUUUUAACUUGGCAUGUAACUGAGCAAAUUCCAGCAAAUUUUUUUUUUUUUUUUGCUUGUACUAAAUAGCUUAAUUUUGGUGAAGAAACCAGCAAAUUUUCAUUUUAUUUUAAUAAAUAAAUGAUAUCUCAUUCAACUUUAAUGUUACUGAAUGAUACAUGGAGAUAAUAAAUAAUACUCCAAGUAAAGAUUUUUUUAGAUUUUUUUCUUGUUCCACAAAGAUAGAUUUUCUAUAUUGUUAAGGUAUUUUUUUAUACUUUUGAAAAACAUUAAUUGAGAAUAUUUGAAUUAAUUAAAUUUCAUUGGUGGAAAGUUAUUGAAAAGUGUAUAAUAAAGUAAAAGAUAAAUUAAAUUAUAAAUAUUUAUUAAAUUAUUAAUAAGCGUCCAUACUCUAAAAAAUCUUACUUUUGCGAACAGAGAGAGUAUUCUUUUGAUGGUACUACGGAUGCUACAACUUUAAGAUAGUGCUGUUGAUCAUCUGGACUAAAUAGGUUGACAAAGAGGAAUCCCAAGCCCUUAAUCUUGAACUGUACAUAGAGUGGUAGAUUACUAACUUAGGCUUCGAAUGUUACGAACUGCCUCGCCCCGCAGUUAACAGUAACAAAAAUCUCUACAUAUACUAUAUAUCUAUACGUUUUUAUAACUGUUAAAACCGCACCGCAAUUAAUGUAUGUAGCGGCUAGAGGCUUGUUCAAAAUGAAUCCUCCAAUGAUUAUAGUGCCUAAAUCCAUUGAGGAAGGCAUCGAGACUUUGCUCGAGGUUCCUAGAGCUAAGGCACAAUCCUGUUAGCUUGGACAUAGGAGGACAACCUCUAGCAUCCAACUACCCAUUGCCGCCCAAGGUUUGUGGUUUUUUUUUGUGUGUGUUGUUUGGUGGCAUAGUGAUACAGUAGCUUCAUCAGGUGUCAGUAGAACCAUGAGGAGAAUUCUUUCAGUGGAGUUGGCUUUUGAACCAAAGAUUGUAUAUGUGAGAAAAACAUCUAAAGUUAAAAUGUGUCAAAGGUUACGACAUCCUCAUUCAAAUAGCUAAUGAUAACAUUGGUUUGUCAGUGUUGGUUCUUCUCGGUAGAUAUAUGCUUAAGUUCCGUUUCUUAGGUCAGCAAAAUGGUGCAACGACAUCUGACAUGAGGGAAUAAGUAGGUGGGGGAUCUCACGAUAUCUAAAAAUCAUUAUUUUGCAUUUUUUUCUGAGAGCAUUCUGAUUAGCUACACCGUGUGUUAUCCUUAGGCUAUGCUCUAUUAUUGUCUUGGUGCGUCACAUUCUCAACUUGUAAACUAGAGUGUUCAUAUUUUUGUUCUAGGGUGGAUUGUCAAUGUAUGUAGCGGCUAAAAUUUUCUAAUCUUUUAUAUAGUUUCCUUGUAAAAGGUAUCUUAUUGCUUGGUCAAAGACUGCUGGCAUUAUGAUACCAGUUAGAUUCAUCAGGUGUCAGCAGAAAUAUGAGGAGCAUCCUUUCAUUAGAGUUGGCUUUUGAACCAAAUAUUGUUUAUAUGAGAAAAAUCAUAUAUUACCAAGGGGUAUAGGAGUCCAGCAUCCAAAAGCUAGAUUGUGUUAGGUUAUAGUGUCCUCAUUCAAAAUUGUGUUGGUUCUUAUCGGUAAUCAUAUGCUUAAGUUUCGGUUUUCAGGUCAGCGAAUAAUGCAACAUCAUCUGACAUUAAGGAGUAAGAAGGUGGGCUCGUAAGAUAUCUAAAAAAGGUUUCUCUUAACAACCUCAGUAUUCUCUGAAGAUUGUGGGCUUAAUCCACUUCAAGAUUCUGCAAACGAGACUGCUUCUUCCAUGAGGCAAGUGUCUAUUGUUUUCUCUGAUAUGUCGUCACUCUUUUGUCAUCAUUGAGGUUUAGGCCCUUGACAGAGGCAAAGAGGCAAGAGAAGGAGGACGUUAAGAUCUUCUUAAGUCGUUGGUCUUAUUUUCCAUCCACUAAUGGCUUUUUUAUGGGUUGUUGGUCGUUAAUUCCAAUCAAACAAGUCUUAAACCUCCUACAUUUUCUUUGUCUCUGUCCAGACAUUAGUAACCGUGGGUAAUGAAUCUGUUUUCAGUUAUAGUCCUUGUCUUAAGACUUUCUCAAACCAUAACCAUUCAAAUAACUGAAAACAAAUUCUCUCAAGCCGUGGAUACUAAAUCUUUGUAAGCCGUGGGUAAGGAAUCUGUUUUCAGUUAUAGUCCCUGUCUUAAGACUUUCUCAAACUGUACCAUUCAAAUAACUAAAAACAGAAAAGUCUUGUCUUUAAGACUUGUAAGCCGUGGGUAAUAAAUCUUUGUCUUUGUCAAGACAUGUGUAAGCCUUGAGUAAGGAAUCUAUUUUCAGUUAUAGUCUUUGUCAAAGACUGAGCGGCAUGCUCUUAUUUGCCAUCCCCUAACGCCCUUCUUUAUACAUGCACCACCAACCCAUAUUCUCGGUCCAUUUAACAAUCUUGCUAUAGGAAAUGGUAUAAGUUUCUUUCAGAGGAAGCAAGGGACAGUGUUUUCAGUUAUAGUCCUUGUCUUAGGACUUUCUCAAACUGUACCAUUCAAAUAACUGAAAAAAAAAGUCUUUGGCCUUUAAGACUUGUAAGCCGUGGAUCAUAAAUCUUUAUCUUUGUCAAGACAUGUGUAAGCCGUGGGUAAUAAAUCUUUGUAAGCCAUGGGUAAGGAAUCUGUUUUCAGUUAUAGUCUUUGUCUUAAGACUUUCACAAACUGUACCAUUCAAAUAAUUGAAAACAAAAAAGUCUUUUGUCUUUAAGACUUGUAAGCCGUGAGUAAUAAAUCUGUCUUUCUCAAGACAUGUGUAAGGCGUGGGUAAGGAAUCUGUUUUCAGUUAUAGUCUUUGUCAAAGACUGAGCGGCAUGCUCUUAUUUGCCAUCCCCUUACGCCCUUCUUUAUACAUGCACCACCAACCCAUAUUCUCGGUCCAUUUAAUAAUCUUGCUAUAGGGGAUGGCAUAAAGUUCUUUUAGAGGCAGCAAGGGACAAUGUUUUCAGUUAUAGUCCUUGUCUUAGGACUUUCUCAAACUGUACCAUUCAAAUAACUGAAAACAGAAAAGUCUUUGGUCUUUAAGACUUGUAAGCCGUGAGUAAUAAAUCUUUGUCUUUGUCAAGACAUGUGUACGCCGUGGGUAAAAAUCUUUGUAAGUCGUGGGUAAGGAAUCUGUUUUCAGUUAUAGUCUUUUGUCUUAAGACUGAGCCGCAUGCUCUUAUUUGCCAUCCCCUAACGCCCUUCUCUAUACAUUCACCACCAACCCAUAUUCUCGAUCCAUUAGGGGAUGGCUUAAGUUUCUUUUAGAGGCAGCAAGGGACAAUGUUUUCAGUUAUAGUCCUUGUCUUAGGACUUUCUCAAACUGUACCGUUCAUAUAACUGAAAACAGAAAAAUCUUUGGUCUUUAAGACUUGUAAGCCGUGGGUAAUAAAUCUUUGUCUUUGUCUAAGACAUGUGUAAGCCGAGGGUAAUAAAUCUUUGUAAGCCGUGGGUAAGGAAUCUGUUUUCAGUUAUAGUCUUUUGUCUUAAGACUGAGCCGCAUGCUCUUAUUUGCCAUCCCCUAACGCCCUUCUCUAUACAUGCACCACCAACCCAUAUUCUCGAUCCUUUAGGGGAUGGCAUAAGUUUCUUUUAGAAGCAGCAAGGGACAUUGUAUUCAGUUAUAGUCCUUGUGAUAACCCGUCCUUCGGGAUAAAAUGGUCGAGCAAGGGAAAGUCAGAAUCUGGAGCCAAGCUUUUGGGAGAUUACAUAUUUGGAGUAAUGUUGAGUUUUGAUCACACAAAACUUAACAAGGUUCGGAGAAGACAGAAGAUUGGUCGAGCAUCAACUUGAUGAUCGAACCGCGGGCGGUACGGGCCAACCGAGAAGUUCGAAGUAGGAUGUGGUCGAAGAAUGGAUCGUGAGUGAACCAUGAGACAUAUUAAGCUGCUCUACCUUUCUUAGAAGAGUCUUAGAUUGAUCAGACGAAGAUUUUGGAAGAAUCACAUUUUUGGAAGCACGACGGUUUAGAAGCUCGACGUUUCAGAAACCCGACGUUUCUUAGCCACUAAGUUUUCCGCGAAACUUCACAUCUAUGAUCAGAAUAUUAUUUCAGAGAUAUUAUAAUUUGGAAGCAUGACGGGAGUAAGCAGGACGGGAAGCAAGCACGACGGGAAAACCCGAAGUUGGUCGAAAACCCUAAUUUCGGUUUUUCGAAAUUAUUGGAAGAAGCCGGAGGCUCGGGAAAUAUUUUUAGAGGAUCUCAGUAUUCAUCUGGAGUUUAUUAAAAAUAUUUAGAGAAUCAGAACGGGAGCGGAAAAAUAUUCGGGAUUGAUCGCGGGACGAAAAUUUACCAGAAAGACCGAAAUCGCACAAAUCAACCGGGAAGCUCGAGGUGGCCCUAUCUGAGAGAUCAGGACGUGCUGUCCUUCAUCCAAGCAUCUUAGUGUCUCCGUAGCACGAUAUGUCUCCGCAGGAUGAAGCCUCACAUGCAGCAUGACACCCAAAGCACGACAUGACCUCGUCUUGACACCCAGAGGCCCGUGUGUCGCGAUGCAUGAGCUCCAGCCAUGCUGAAUGACAUCUGGACGUGGUGCUGGCUUCUGGCAUGCAGAGGAGUCAUGCAUGGUGACAUUUGGACGCCCGUGUGUCGCCGCGCAUGCGACCGGAAGCAUGCGGGACGACACACAGGCGAUGGAGUGGCACCAUUUCAAUGGUUGGCCAUAUCUAUAUAAACCCAGCUCCCCCAGCUCGUUUCAUUCAUUCCACACACUCAAACAUCACUCUAAAACUUGGGCUAGAGAGAGAAAGUGAAGUAGAAAAAGGAAGUGAAGGAUUUGGAGCUGUUUUGAAGAAGUUAGAGCAUUUUUAAGAGCCAUUGUUCUACCGAAAGUCCGAGAAGAAGAUCCAGAAGUCCGAGGAGGUUCUGUCCAAGUCCUGAUUCGUCCAUACCAGUCCAUUGAAGACAGAGGCAUUGGUUUUUGGCUAGGCUUUCUCCGAUCAACCAGCUGCAAGAACACUGUGAGUUGGUUUGUUUGAGUUCCACUUGGAACUUAGGAUAGAUCGAGUUGCAUAUAGAGUAAUAAUAUCACACUGAUGCAUGAUAGAGUCCUAGGGUUAUUUUUAUUUAUGAAUUGGACUCAGUUUAGCAUGGGCUAAGCUGAGAUAUAAUGGAAUUAAGACUGAGUUAUAACCUGACUAGGACUAGGAUGAAUGAUGCAUCAACCGGUAUAGUGUGAUAAAUUAUGGCGUAGCUGAAUUGUUAGGAUUGAGAUGCAUGUUUUCCUUUAUUUAUUUAUGGGUAGUUUAGUAAUGGAGUAGACCUGCCUUAGAGAUAUUAGGACUAUUGAAUGCUUGGUUUGGUAGUGAUUGUUGUUGUGCAGGGAUGGUAUUGUUCAGGCGAUCUUAGGCCAUAUAGGCCGAUUUCCUUCCAUGUCGAGUUUAGUACUACCAAUCCUAUGCCAUAUAGGCUGGACUACGAGUACUGGUGUUAGUGUCGUAGACUCCUUAGUGUAUUUAAGUUUGUGGUAGGAGUCUUGGUCUUAUUAGGAUUAGUGUGUUGUAGCCGACAGUAUGAGCGUAACCCGUCCAUACUAGGCUUGUUUAGGGGUGAUUAGUGUUUCCUCAGCCUCGUACCCAGCGGGUUUAAGGAAACCCCUUAUUCGUUGGAUCGGGAAGACUCAGAGAGACGGGAUCAUGGCCUAUGGCUGAGUUAUUACACGACGGUGUAAUGUGGCAGUGACCCGAAGGACUGUGGGCUGUCGCGCGGUGACCCGAAGGACUGUGGGCCGCGGUCGGUUGAAAGUUCCUUCUUCUGGCCUUUGUGGUAGGGAGAUAGGAUAUUGCCGAUGUUGAGGAGGAACACGAGAUCACCAGGGCCCAUGUUAGAGUAUUGAGUUUAGAGUUAGAAUAGUGUGUCGAGUUAGUUUUAUUGUGUCGUCUUGAGGGUGAGGAACCCUCGAGAUAGUGUUAGCACCGAGAUACGGUGUUGAUCGAGUCUUGAUUGUUAGAUUAGGGAUCCGUUGAGUAGAUGGUCGUUUGGCCAUGUCUAUUAUUAGUAUUAUUAGAUUAAGGUCGAGCAUACCUUAAUCGGUGCGGUUUUGGGGAUUAGCCUUAAAGCUUUAUUUUCUGCGCUUAGGCUAGAUUGAUUGUUAUUUUUGGGUUGUCUGAGCUAGCUACUAGGUUUAGGUAUUUAGGUAUCCAGCUCACUGAGUGACCUUCUGUUACUCACCCAACUCUCGUUGUCCUUUUUGCAGGAGUUUAGUUUGUAGGAGAUUAGACGCGUAGGCCACCGGAAUAGAUUUGCAGUGCAUUUGGCUACGGUUUGAUUUUUAUACGAUUUAUGUUUCCGUUGCGUUUUAUCGGAUUUGGGAUCCCUAAAGUAUUGCAAAUAUUCUUAAAAGUCUUGGAUUUAAAUCUUAAAAAAAUUAACGGGUCCAAUAUGAUAUUGGUUUAGUCCGAACCAACACAACGUUAGGUCUUGGUACGGGUUGAAAAGCCUUAAGCCUCGAUCUAACGGAACCGUUAACUCAUGGUACAGGUUGCAAAGCCUUAAGCCUUGAUUUAACGGGACGUGUUAGUGGAUGAACUAGUCUAGGUUGCGGAAUAAAUCUGUGACUCGGACCGGAUCGUCCCUAGCUCGUCACGUAGCGCUUCCGGACCAUGGUGUUGGGUUGGACGGUCAGUCAUGUUCUUGUUUGAUUGUUGGCUGGCCGGUUGGCCUUUCAUCUCCAAUCCUUGGUGUUGGUUGGUCCGUCGGUCAUGUUCUUGUUUGAUUGUUGGCCGGUGGGUCGACCUAUGCCUAGGACGGUUCGGGGGUGUUACAGAGGUGGUAUCAGAGCAUGGUUACGAUUAUGCUCACUGGUUCCCGUGGUUUUUCAAAUGUUUUCAAUGUUUUUCGAGUCAAAAGGAGUCGCCAAUGCACUCUUUAGGAAUCCGGUCGUGUCCAAUCGUUUAGGAGGGGUAGGAGAGAUUUUAUUUUAUUAUUAGCUUGUUGUCUAACCCAUAUAUAUUGCGACAUGAUUCCGCAGGUUGCUGUACUGGUGUGGUAGGGUGGAGAUUUGGAGUUACGGAGGAUUUCGACGUUUCGCCUAGUCCUAUACUUGCCGAUCUUUUUCAGCCGCAUGAGUUUGAUCAGAUCGUACCAGACAUGUUUCCGACACCUAUCAUCAUUUCUGAUGAUGACACCGAGCCUGAUGAUGCGGUUCCGACACCCUUUAUUGUCAUUUCUGACGAUGAGACCAAUGCGGAUGAUCUUGUUCCGCAGAUGCCUACGGUAGCACCACCGAGCCCCAUCACUAUCUUGUCUACGGGUACUACUGGAGAUACGCCGAGUUAUGAUCCUGCUGAGGAUCAGGGCACUUCGCCACCUACUCCAGAUGUGUCGACACCAUCAUAUGGUCCCUUACCUUUGUCUCCGGGAUUACCCGAUCCUACUCUCAGCCCGACGAUUGACAUACAUUAUGAGAUGGGUCUGGAGGGAUUUUACGAUCUGCCGAUGGAGAGUAUUGGUGACAGCCAUGAUGAUCCAUUACUUUACUAUCCAGACAUCAUGAUUCCUGAUGAGCCAGCAAACUAUCAGUCCAUGGAGAGCGUUGGACACCCUGAUGACGACCCAUUCCUUUAUGAUCCAGACGUGAUGAUGAUGGACCAGCCACUUCCUCAGCCGGCGGACUUAUCUUUUUCUCAUACUAUACCUGCGAGUGGAGAGCCUUCCAGCUUUCCACCCAUGGAGCCAUCCACGACCUACUCACCAUUAUCUCAGCCAUUCUAUGACUACGGAGAGCCUUCCAGCUUUCCGACGAUGGAGGUACCCAAGACUGAAUUACCAUUUUACCAGACCACUUAUCAGACCGGAGGGCCAUCUAGCCUUCCAGCGAUGGAUGCAUCUUUUGAUCUUGGAGGAUCUGCUUCUUCUGGUGAUCCUUACGCACCUCAGUCCUAUCGAUGUUUUUGGUGUCAGAGCAGGAUAUGUGGAUCCACACGGAUUCCCAUAUCAUACUUAUCUUGGUAGAUCGGAUCUGUACCCGAGGUGUUUUACUUGUGGAGGCAUAGCACAUUCGACUGGCGUGUGCACGAGCUACGACGAGCCAGCAGCGAUACCCUACCUACACAGUGCGCAACCAGCAGGGGAUUCGUCCGAGUGGGGCUACUGCCCCAACUGCGACAUGUUGCUUUAUAUAUGGCGUUCUUAGACGUGUAGGACCGGGUAAGUAGGGUACAGACUUUUUGUGGUGAUAUAGCGGUGUAUAGACUUUUGUAGUGUUUUGUGACAGCUGAUGUCUUUUGUUGUAUGAUAUAUCAUCAGUAACGAUAAAGGAUGUUUUUCUGUCAAGUAUAUGUAUAUAUUUGAUGGGAGGAUAUGUUUUAUAGUGAAGGUGGUUAUCAUUUGCGUUUUUCUAUUUAGUAAUUACGUAACCAUAUCAUUCAAGUAUGCAUGUUCUUGCAUAUUUGAAUUAUGUGGUUUACAAGAUGAAAAAUAGUGAUCGCUUGGACAUAUGGUUUUACAAAACAUUUACAACUGUUUAAAUAUCACACAAAUCGUUGGUACAGUAGAGUCUUAGUUUUUAGGCCGCAUUUUUUUAGGGCUGGUUAGUGGAACAUAGAAUUGCUAGGUUGUUGGUUAGAAUUGCGGUUAGAUUACCCGGUUAGAAUCGUUAGGUUGCUGGAUAGAUUUGGUAGGUUGCUGGUUAGUUUUGGAUUAGAUUGUUAGGUUAGUUGUUAACUAACUUGCAUGUGAAGUGUUCUUUUGAGUUGCAGCUUGUGUGUUCGUUGAUCGGAACUUUAAGGAAUGGAAACCUUAAAGUGAAAAGAGUUCAAGGCUAAAAACCCAAAAUGAAGAGAGAGAGAUUUAGAGGGACUGGACAGUGGUAUGGACUGGACAAGUAUGAGAAAGACUUCGUUGAGAAAGGACUUCAUCAGUUUUGGGAAAAGAAAGGUUUCAGUGAUCAGAAGCAAAGAUGGUGCGCGUUAUGGCAGAGUAAAUGCAAGAAGACGAUUCAGUAUUCAUCAAGUGAAGAGUUUUGUGGCAACUUUGAGAAGGAGACUCAUGGGAGAGCAGUAGAUACGGUGAAGCAAUAUGAAGAUGAAUUCAGCAUGAGAGUGAAGCGAUAUGGAGAUGAGUUAAGAAUGAGUGAAGCAUGGGAAAUCAAGAAGUGAAGGACGGAUUCAAGACUAAAGGAAUGCUUUGAGAUGUAUCAAGACGGAGUGAGUUCAGAACCAGAAGUUUGGGUGGAGACCAGAGAAACCGAAAGGAGGAAACCAAGGGCAAACCGAUAAAGAAGCACAUCAAGUGAUCAAGACCGCGAGACAAGUGAUCCAAGGAGAAAUUUUCAUCAAGGGGAUGAACAUGUCGUGAAGCUGAGCCAUUGGACAACUAAGAAUGCGAGGACGAAUUCUAUUAAGGGGGGAAGAAUGUGAUAAUCCGCCCUUCGGGAUAAAAUGGUUGAGCAAGGGAAAGUCAGAAUCUGGAGCCAAGCUUUUGGGAGAUUACAUAUUUGGAGUAAUGUUGAGUUUUGAUCACACAAAACUUAACAAGGUUCGGAGAAGACAGAAGAUUGGUCGAGCAUCAACUUGAUGAUCGAACCGCGGGCGGUACGAACCGAGAAGUUCGAAGUAGGAUGUGGUCGAAGAAUGGAUCGUGAGUGAACCAUGAGACAUAUUACGCUGCUCUACCUUUCUUAGAAGAGUCUUAGAUUGAUCAGACGAAGAUUUUGGAAGAAUCACAUUUUUGGAAGCACGACGGUUUAGAAGCUCGACGUUUCUUAGCCACUAAGUUUUCUGUGAAACUUCACAUCUAUCAUCAGAAUAUUAUUUCAGAGAUAUUAUAAUUUGGAAGCAUGACGGGAGUAAGCAGGACGGGAAGCAAGCACGACGGAAAAACCCGAAGUUGGUCGAAAACCCUAAUUUCGGUUUUUCGAAAUUAUUGGAAGAAGCCGGAGGCUCGGGAAAUAUUUUUAGAGGAUCUCAGUAUUUAUCUGGAGUUUAUUAAAAAUAUUUAGAGAAUCAGAACGGGAGCGGAAAAAUAUUCAGGAUUGAUCGCGGGACGAAAAUUCACCAGAAAGACCGAAAUCGCACAAAUCAACCGGGAAGCUCGAGGUGGCCCUAUCUGAGAGAUCAGGACGUGCUGUCCUUCAUCCAAGCAUCUUAGUGUCUCCGUAGCACGACAUGUCUCCGCAGGAUGAAGCCUCACAUGCAGCAUGACACCCAAAGCACGACAUGGCAUCGUCUUGACACCCAGAGGCCCGUGUGUCGCGAUGCAUGAGCUCCAGCCAUGCUGAAUGACAUCUGGACGUGGUGCUGGCUUCUGGCAUGCAGAGGAGUCAUGCAUGGUGACAUUUGGACGCCCGUGUGUCGCCGCGCAUGCGACUGGAAGCAUGCGGGACGACACAAAGGCGAUGGAGUGGCACCAUUUCAAUGGUUGGCCAUAUCUAUAUAAACCCAGCUCCCCCAGCUCGUUUCAUUCAUUCCACACACUCAAACAUCACUCUAAAACUUGGGCUAGAGAGAGAAAGUGAAGUAGAAAAAGGAAGUGAAGGAUUUGGAGUUGUUUUGAAGAAGUUAGAGCAUUUUUAAGAGCCAUUGUUCUACCGAAAGUCCAAGAAGAAGAUCCAGAAGUCCGAGGAGGUUCUGUCCAAGUCCUGAUUCGUCCAUACCAGUCCAUUGAAGACAGAGGCCUUGGGUUUUGGCUAGGCUCUCUCCGAUCAACCAGCUGCAAGAACACUGUGAGUUGGUUUGUUUGAGUUCCACUUGGAACUUAGGAUAGAUCGAGUUGCAUAUAGAGUAGAAAUAUCACACUGAUGCAUGAUAGAGUCCUAGGGUUAUUUUUAUUUAUGAAUUGGACUCAGUUUAGCAUGGGCUAAGCUGAGAUAUAGGCCGUGUUCGUUUGCUGGUCGCUAGCGUCAGCGACCAAGUUCAGCGACCAAACGCUGUUCGUUUACCGGUCGUGAGUUCAGCGACUGAUCUCAGCGACCAAACGCUAGCGAUCAGCGAUUUAAAAUUUUGGACGCUGGAAAUUUCAGCGGUGCGACCAAAAUCGUGCGACUAGAAAUUUUUUUUUUUUUUUUUUUUUGAACACUCGAAAAAAUAAAAAAAAACUUAAAAAGACAAAACUACCCUAAAUAUAUUUACAGAAUCACAAUACAUUGCCAUUAACCCUAAUACAAACUCACGCCAAAAAAAAAAACCAGAAACUUCUCUCUCUCUCCCCGAUCUAUUUCCUGCGGCCAUACUUCUCUUCUCUGCUCAAGCUCUCUUUCUCUCCGAUCUAUUUCCGGCAGCCACAGAGAACCUUCUCUGCUCAAGGUCUCUCUCUCUCUCUCUCUCUCUCUCUCUCUCUCUCUCUGCGUUUUGUGUGAGGAUAAUGGAACCUUUAGAUUAAUUAAGUUGACUGUUGGGUUUUUUGAUUCUUGAUAUGGGUUGCUUUUAGAUUUAAGAUUUUGAUUAUCAAAUCUUUGUUUUUAAUCCGAUUAUCAGACAUGGGUUUGAGUUCCUGUGAAUGUUUUCAGACAUGGGUUUGAGUUCUUUUUGGUAUGUGACGAAGUGUUCUUGCAUUUGCUUUCAAGUAGUUUAUAGUUUGGUCUGAAUAAAGCUUCGAUGUUUGGAACAAGAGUCAAAUUUUGUGUGCUUUUGAUAGAUUGUUGUUUCAGUUUAGUAGUAGUGAUGAAAUAUGUGUCUGCAAGUCUCAUCAUUUAUGUCUGUAUUAUCUUCUCAGGUUGGACAUAAAUCACAACAAGACAAGAUAAGAAGAAUGGCUGAUGAUGUAAGUGUUUUAGGCAGUUCUAGUUUCUUAGAUCUUUUGUGAUAGUUUUUUCUGCUAGUUUAGCUUGUUUGUCUAUUGAUGAGACUUGUUAUUUAGAAAUGGACCGAUGAAGAAGUUAGGUAUUUCUUUGCUCUUUAUGCUGAUGAGAAAAAGAAAGGGAACAGACCAAGGAGUGGCAUGAAUCUAGCUGGAAGAGAGUUCAUCGUAAAUAAGUUUGAAGAGAAAUUUGGUAAGAGAUGGAUAUGGGACAGGUUUAAGAACAAGGUUGAUAUUAGUAGAAAAGCAUAUGUCAAGUUCAAGAAGCUUACCCACAAUAGAACCGGGCUUGUCUAUGAUGCUUUGGGAAGGUUGGAGAUGUCGGAUGCUUGGUGGGAUCAACGCAUUGCGGUAAGUAUCUUUCUCUUAGUCUUCAGUGCUUUAAUAAUGUCAGUAUUAGAGUUCUCUUUCUGCUUAGAGUGAAAAAUAUUAGACAUUGAAUCAGUAUUAGCUUGAAAAAAAUAUUAGACAUUGAAAAAUACUGUAUGUUUCAAAUAUACUAAUUUUUUUCUUCUUAAACAGGAAUGGCAAGGUGCAAGAAAGUAUAAGACCAAAGUGCCUCCAAACAUGGAUGUGUUUGAAGCAGAGUUUGGUGCUGUUACUGUAACUGGAGCAGAAGGAUGGUGUGCUCAGCAAGGAGAAGCUAGCUUAGAUUCUAGAGUAGAUGUAGAGAAGGAUGACGAGUCUGAUUCAGUUGACACUGGGAUGCCAGCACCAAGAGAAGGAACAAGUAGAGCUGGAGGUUCAAAAAGAAAGCGUAAGGAAUUUGAUCAAGAGCCUUAUGUUCUAAGGAAUGCAAUUCUGGCUGAGAAAAAUAAGAUAGCAGAAAAGAUGGUAGAGAUAAUGGCAGAGGAUCGUGUGGUGUUGCAGCAGGAUCGCAAAUUCCGUGUGCACUCUGUGUUGGAGAUACUUAAUGAGCUACCUGGAAUUAUAAAGUGGUCACCAUUUCACAUUGCUGCAGUUAACCAUCUCAAAGCUGUUGAAGAAAACAGAAUGGCUUUUAUGUCUUUCUCUAGUGAUGAUGAUAAGAUUAGCUAUCUUGAAAAUAUGAUUGGAGUUAAGAUAUAUGAAGGAUUGUAGUGUCUGUUUCAGUAUGACUGUUUUAAUAUGACUCAGAUUGUAGUGUUUCUUUUAAGUAUGACUUUUGUUUCAUUUUUUUGGUAUGAAUCAGAUUGUAGUAUUUUAAUGUGAUAGUACCAUUAUUCUCGUGUCUGCCUGCUCAAAUUGGAAGUUGGUUUUUUUUAAUGUGAUAGGAAGUUGGGUUUUUUUUUUCUGUCUCGCAACUUAUAUAUAUAUAUGUGAUUUUAAUGCUUUGCAGAUGGUUAGGUGGUACUUGGAUGAUGAUGAUGAGGAUGAUGAUUAUGAGGAAGAGCAUGAAGUUGAUGUGCUUAAGCCAGAGAGAUUGCUUCAUAGAACAGAUCGAGGUGCUGGAUGGAAUCAUGUUCAGCAGCUUAUGCACGGGUCAGAUCAACAGUGCUAUGAUAUUCUUCGCAUGAAUCAGAGGACAUUUCAAGAUCUGUGUAAGAUGUUAGCAACGAGAUAUGGGUUACAAGAGACGUUGAAUGUCUAUAUUGAAGAAGCGGUUGCAAUGUUCCUUGAAGUGGUGGGUCAAGAUAAGACAGUACGGGUUAUUGCACAAAGAUAUCAACGUUCGUUGGAUACAGUCAAAAGGAAACUUGGUGAGGUUUUGAGUUCUCUCUUGAAAUUUGCUGCAGAUACACUAAAACCAGAAGAUGGUGAGUUCACAAGAGUAUGUCCUGCUUUGAGAAAUGAUGAUCGAUACUGGCCAUUUUUUAAAGACUGUAUUGGAGCAUUGGAUGGAACUCAUAUCUCAGUCCGCCCUCCUAAACGAAAUGCAGAAGCAUACAGGGGCAGAAAACAGGAGCCAACCAUGAAUGUCCUUGCUAUAUGUAACUUUGAUAUGAAGUUCAUAUAUGCUUAUGUGGGUGUGCCGGGUAGAGCCCAUGACACAAAGGUAUUAACUUAUUGUGCGAGGAAUGAGCCUUUUUUUCCACAUCCGCCAAAUGGAAAGUAUUAUUUGGUUGAUGCUGGAUAUCCCACAAGAACAGGGUAUCUUGGUCCGUAUCGUAGAGUUCGGUAUCAUCUCGAUCAGUUCAACAGAGGAGGACCGCCAACGAACACUCGAGAGGUGUUCAACCGGAGACAUUCAAGCUUGCGAUCAGUGAUUGAGCGGACAUUUGGAGUGUGGAAAGCAAAAUGGAGAAUUCUUGACCGUAGGCAUCCAAAAUAUGGUUUGAUCAAAUGGAUAAAGCUAGUGACGGCAACGAUGGCUCUACACAACUUCAUACGUGAUUCACAUCGAGAAGAUAAUGAUUUUGUGCAUUGGCAGAGAAGAGAAGAAUAUCAUACUCAUGGUGAUAAUGAUGAAGAAGAAAGAGAUGAAGAGGAAGAUGAAGAAGAAGAAGAAGAAGAUGGUGAUGGUCAUGGUGGACAUAUUCCAUAUGAGCCGACUGGUGAUAGAGCCAUGGAAGGUUUACGUGAUCAUAUUGGUAAUGAGUUGAGUAGAGGAUAUCGAUUACCUUAUUAGUUUAUUUGAUUUGAAUUUGUACUGAUUAUUAUUAUAAGUUACUCGUAUGAUCACUCAUAAACAAAAGUGAACUUGUACAAGGAAAAAUAUAAGAAAUUGAAACGAUUAAACAUAUUGCAUCCAUGGUGUGAUUUAUUACACUUUACAGUUUUAAUGAUUUAGCCACGUUUUUGACGAAACCUAAGUACACAAGAGCAAAUGUAUGUCAAAAGUAAAUAUUUGGUCGCCAGCGAUACAGAAACGAACAGCAUAGCGACAACCGCUGCGAUCAAUCGCGCGACAUAGAAACGAACAGCAUAGCGACAACCGCUGCGAUCAAUCGCGCGACCUUCAAACGAACAACUAUCAGCGACAUCAUGUCGCAGUCGCUGGUCGCUGACUCUGGUCGCUGACGCUGGCGACCACGAAACGAACAGGGCCAUAAUGGAAUUAAGACUGAGUUAUAACCUGACUAGGACUAGGAUGAAUGAUGCAUUAACCGGUAUAGUGUGAUAAAUUAUGGCGUAGCUGAAUUGUUAGGAUUGAGAUGCAUGUUUUCCUUUAUUUAUUUAUGGGUAGUUUAGUAAUGGAGUAGACCUGCCUUAGAGAUAUUAGGACUAUUGAAUGCUUGGUUUGGUAGUGAUUGUUGUUGUGCAGGGAUGGUAUUGUUCAGGAGAUCUUAGGCCAUAUAGGCCGAUUUCCGUCCAUGUCGAGUUUAGUACUACGAAUCCUAUGCCAUAUAGGCUGGACUACGAGUACUGGUGUUAGUGUCGUAGACUCCUUAGUGUAUUUAAGUUUGUGGUAGGAGUCUUGGUCUUAUUAGGAUUAGUGUGUUGUUGCCGAUAGUAUGAGCAUAACCCGUCCAUACUAGGCUUGUUUAAGGGUGAUUAGUGUUUCCUCAGCCUCGUACCCAGCGGGUUUAAGGAAAUCCCUUCUUCGUUGGAUCGGGAAGACUCAGAGAGACAGGAUCAUGGUCUAUGGCUGAAUUAUUACACGACGGUGUAAUGUGGCAGUGACCCGAAGGACUGUGGGCUGUCGCGCGGUGACCCGAAGGACUGUGGGCCGCAGUCGGUUGAAAGUUCCUUCUUCUGGCCUUUGUGGUAGGGAGAUAGGAUAUUGCCGAUGUUGAGGAGGAACACGAGAUCACCAGGGCCCAUGUUAGAGUAUUGAGUCUAGAGUUAGAAUAGUGUGUCGAGUUAGUUUUAUUGUGUCGUCUUGAGGGUGAGGAACCCUCGAGAUAGUGUUAGCACCGAGAUACGGUGUUGAUCAAGUCUUGAUUGUUAGAUUAGGGAUCCGUUGAGUAGAUGGUCGUUUGGCCAUGUCUAUUAUUAGUAUUAUUAGAUUAAGGUCGAGCAUACCUUAAUCGGUGCGGUUUUGGGGAUUAGCCUUAAAGCUAUUUUCUGCGCUUAGGCUAGAUUGAUUGUUAUUUUUGGGUUGUCUGAGCUAGCUACUAGGUUUAGG